ACGACUAGCAAAAUCCAAGAAAACAAAAAAGACCAAGCACCAGGGUCAAAAAAUUCUAGAGCCCGCGGAUAAAAUUGGGGCGCACAGCCAGUGAGGCACAGCCGCACAGCGGUAAUGGGAUAAUAAGACGGUCAUCCGAGUUCCGUCGACGGCAGGAGAUGAGAUGACAGUCAUUCUGAACCGUCCAUUCCCCUCUUUGGCCGCCCCAAACCGACGCAUCACCAAAUCCAGACCGUCCACUCCACCAAGCAUCUCAUGCUUCAAUCCCAAACAUUCCUUCAAGAGAGACUACACGAGCGUAAUGAUAGUCCCAACCGGGAUAGGAGCCGCCAUUGGUGGCUACGCCGGCGACGCUUUGCCUGUGGCUCGCACUCUCUCCUCCGUCGUCGAUUGCCUUAUCACACACCCCAACGUGCUGAAUGCAGCAAUGCUCUACUGGCCUAUGCCUAAUGCUUUAUACGUUGAAGGUUAUGCUCUUGACCGCUUUGCAGAAGGCUCAUGGGGCCUCAUGCCUGUUCACCAAAACAGGGUGGGUUUGGUUCUUGAUUCUGGAAUAGAAGAAGAGCUUCGAGUUCGCCAUUUACAAGUGGCCGAUGCUGCAAGGGCUUCCCUUGGCUUGCCUGUGGUUGAAUAUGUUGUCACUGACACCCCUUUACAGGUAGAGAAGUGGAUUGAUCCAAAAAGUGGGCAAUCAACUGGGAGGAUUAAGCACCCUGAUUCACUAUUGAGGGCUGUGCAGGCUUUACUUAAACGCUCUCAAGUAAAUGCUAUUGCAGUUGUUGGCCGCUUCACAGAUGAUGAUGAUGUUCAAGACACAGAUGAUUAUCGAAAAGGGAUGGGAAUUGAUCUAUUGGCAGGGGUUGAGGCAGUUAUAAGCCAUCUAGUGGUGAAGGAAUUCCAAAUUCCUUGUGCACAUGCUCCUGCCUUGUCACCUUUGCCCCUGAGCCCAUCUUUAUGCCCAAAAUCAGCUGCUGAGGAGUUGGGAUACACAUUCUUGCCAUGUGUGCUUGCUGGGCUUAGUAAUGCACCACAGUAUUUGGUCAAGAACUCUGAGUCUGAGAAUGGUUGCAUACUGGCAAGUGAUGUUGAUAGCGUCAUCCUUCCUGUAGAUGCUUUUGGAGGAGACGGCGUUCUUGCUUUUGCACGAAGCAAAAGAAACAAGCCACUUAUAAUUGCUGUGGAGGAAAAUGAAACAGUCCUUGAUGAUACACCAGAUAAAGUUGGGGUUGAAGCAGUCAAGGUCUCAAACUAUUGGGAAGCAAUUGGUGUUAUUGCAGCUCACAAGGCCGGAGUAAAUCCGCAUUCUUUACGAAGAAAUAGAAUUAAGAAUCUUCGAUACACUUCUCUGUUGCCCUCUAAUGGUUAUGCCAUUAGAGUACCACAGCAAUUGGCUGAUUAAAGAGGUUCGACAAUGCUGUAAUCCAACCCAGUCAAAUGUUCUUGAAAAGAUGUUGAUGAUAUCUCAGUAGGUGAAGUAGUGGAUGAAACUUGGUGACUUGUUUAAUCUACUAUUGACUUUUAAGCAGCUGACUAUUUGAAAUCUUCACAGUGAGGGAUUUAAGCUUUGGUUACCCAUGAGAACACAGAAAGAAUUGCUACAACAGAAGUGAAUAAAUACAGAAAGGUUGAAUACUGUUCUUUUUUCGUUGUGCCAUUAUUAUAUAAGGUAAUUUAAUUUGAGUGUCAGAAAAGCAAAGGACGUGGCUACAAAUCUAGAAGCCGCCCAGACCGAGUCAAUAUCUGCUGAGUCGAGGAAAAGAGUUGUGUUAUGACAGUGUUGAGUUUCCUCUGUGUGCAAAAGGGCAGACAGCAAACAUUUAUUUUGAGGGUAUGUUGAAGUGUGAGUUUUGUCAUCCAAUUUAGAGGAAGGCCGUAAUUAUUAAUUAAUUAAAUGAAGAACAUAUAAUAAUCUAAAGUUGAAAGACAGAAUCAGAUGUUGAAGA